AUAUAUUAAGGGUUUUCUCCCUUUAUGUUUACGGUACACAGUACAAGUUCGGUGGGACUCAUGGAGAGAACGAAUUGCCUCAAUGAAAUUCACGCCCAUGCGUUGGACCUUGGAUUCUGACGAAGGAAAUGGCGAGCCACUGUGGAGUCGCAUCAGCCGUCAUUCCUGAGGAGGAAAUCCUCUCUUCCUUCACUCUGCCAUUGUGCUGACACCAUUAUGAUCAGGAUCUAACACCACGGGUGGAACAUUGAGGCUGGCCCCAGUCGGGACUGUCUCAUCCCCAGCAUGGGAGAUGGUUUCUAUAGAAAAGCUCAGGGCUAUGUGAUGCUCUUCAUCAAAGCUUGUUAGAAUGUAACAGAACAGCCCGACAUCUGAUUCAACCUUUUGAUUUGACUCCGAAGAUGAUGAAGUAAACUCACAGGCUGCAGGUCGUUCAUGCUGAUCGGAAGCUCUCUCAGAAUCAGCAGCAGGUCAAGCUGCGUGUUCAGGCAGGGGAUGUUGCACAUCUGUAGCAGGGAGAAGAGAAAGGCACUGUGGGCUGAUCCUGCUGUUCAUCUGUUGCCCCUUCUGCAACCUUGGCUAACCACAUACAGGCCAGAGAUCUGCCAGGCAUGCUGGGAGGUGAUAACUAGAUGAAUGGGUGAAAGUGUCCGAGCUGUGAGGUUUCUGUACGCUGGUGUCGCCGUCUGACAGGUGAAUCACGAUGGAAACGGGCACCGUGGAUGUCACCUCGC